AGUGAACGCUGGCGGCAGGCCUAACACAUGCAAGUCGAACGGCAGCACAGUAAGAGCUUGCUCUUACGGGUGGCGAGUGGCGGACGGGUGAGGAAUACAUCGGAAUCUACUUUUUCGUGGGGGAUAACGUAGGGAAACUUACGCUAAUACCGCAUACGACCUACGGGUGAAAGCAGGGGAUCUUUGGACCUUGCGCGAUUGAAUGAGCCGAUGUCGGAUUAGCUAGUUGGCGGGGUAAAGGCCCACCAAGGCGACGAUCCGUAGCUGGUCUGAGAGGAUGAUCAGCCACACUGGAACUGAGACACGGUCCAGACUCCUACGGGAGGCAGCAGUGGGGAAUAUUGGACAAUGGGCGCAAGCCUGAUCCAGCCAUACCGCGUGGGUGAAGAAGGACUUCGGGUUGUAAAGCCCUUUUGUUGGGAAAGAAAAGCAGCAGGUUAAUACCCCGCUGUUCUGACGGUACCCAAAGAAUAAGCACCGGCUAACUUCGUG
rnacentral:rRNA from 1 species